rnacentral:rRNA from 1 species
AACUUUCGAUGGUAGGAUAGAGGCCUACCAUGGUGGUAACGGGUAACGGGGUGUUAGGGCACGACACCGGAARAGGGAGCCUGGARAAACGGCUACCACAUCCAAGGGAAGGCAGCAGCGCGCGCAAAUUACCCAAUCCCGACACGGGGAGGUAUAGUGACAAUAAAUAACAAUACAGGGUUCUUUUGGAUCUUGUAAUUGGAAUGAGUACAAUUUAAAUCUCUUAACGAGGAACAAUUGGAGGGCAAGUCUGGUGCCAGCAGCCGCGGUAAUUCCAGCUCCAAUAGCGUAUAUUAAAGUUGUUGCAGUUAAAAAGCUCGUAGUUGAAUUUCGGGAUCAAUAUUUCGGUCAUGCCGUUGGUAUGCACUGUUAUCAUUGAUUUCUCACCUUCUAAAGAACCGUAAUGCCAUUAAUUUGGUGUUACGGGGAAUUAGGACUGUUACCUUGAAAAAAAUUAGAGUGUUUAAAGCAGGCUCACGCUUGAAUACAUUAGCAUGGAAUAAUGAAAUAGGACAUCCGAUUCUAUUUUGUUGGUUUCUAGGAUCGAUGUAAUGAUUAAUAGGGAUAGUUGGGGGCAUUAGUAUUCAAUUGUCAGAGGUGAAAUUCUUGGAUUUAUUGAAGACUAACUACUGCGAAAGCAUUUGCCAAGGAUGUUUUCAUUAAUCAAGAACGAAAGUUAGGGGAUCGAAGACGAUCAGAUACCGUCGUAGUCUUAACCCAUAAAACUAUGCCGAACUAGGGAUCGGAWGAWGUUAAUUUUUUAAUGACUCAUUCGGCGCCUUACGGGAAACCAAAGUGUUUGGG